AACCCCUCGUGGUUAGUUGCCAUCAUUUAGUUGGGCACUCUAAGCAGACUGCCGUGGAUAACACGGAGGAAGGUGGGACGACGUCAAAUCAUCAUGCCCCUUAUGACCUGGGCUACACACGUGCUACAAUGGUCUGAACAGAGGGCUGCGAAACCGCGAGGUGAAGCUAAUCCCUUAAAACAGAUCUCAGUUCGGAUUGCAGGCUGCAACUCGCCUGCAUGAGGUUGGAGUUGCUAGUAAUCGCAGAUCAGAAUGCUGCGGUGAAUGCGUUCCCGGGUCUU
rnacentral:rRNA from 1 species